GUGAAGAUAUGCUUGCUUCCCCUUCACUCUUCUGCCAUGAUUGUAAGUUUCCUGAGGCUUCCCCGGCUGUGCCUCCUGUACAGCCUGUGGAACUUCAGGACCUGGGAAAGAAAAAAGCUACCGGCAACAUUCAGACUGAGAGAGGCCAAAAUUCUCAUUCAUAAUUAGCCUGGUAUAUACAAAGGAUCAAAAAGAACAGGACUGUAUGUCUGACCUCUGACAGGCCCUAGCACCAUAGUAGAGACUCAGUAUGUACAUUUAAUGAAGGAAUAAUGAAUACAUCAGCAAGAGAAAUAAGAGUGACCAUAUGUUCCUUAAGAGCAGCACAGAGCAGCUCUUGUUCCUGAAUCUUAAGAAAAAUUAAGAAACCAAGUUGAGAAACUAAGAAAAAAAGAAAAACUGUUUACUUCUCCCAUAAUUAUUAAAGACUAACAGUCAAUGUGGAGGCAUUACUGGUUAGAAGGAGUUCACUGAUUUCUAGUUGAAAGCAAGACAUUUGGUGGCUGAAGGUUAAGGCCAACAUUUCCAGGAACCUAAACAAGACACAGAGGAGAAAAGCGAGAACCAUCUCAUCAGUCAGUCUUGCUAUAACUGUUGUCUUGUUAUGAACAGUUGCUCAUGGCCCUGUCUGCUGCUACUGGUUACAGUUCUUUGCAAAUACAUGAAGAGAGGAAACGAAAGAAGAAGAAGAUGUGAAUAUUGUUGAAGAUGUCUCCCUUGGGAAAUCAAAAAAAACUGUUCUAAAAUCUGAAUUAGUAAAAGCAAUAUUGAUUUCAAUAGAAAAGAAACAAAUUAUUAAAAAAGGAAAUGAGCUUAUAUGAAGCUACAUGUAUCCUAAUGCCCAGCUUGAAUACAGUUUUGAAUGCAUUCUUAAUAAAUGAGCAAACAUCAAUGUGAAAUAAAAGCAGCAGUUUUUGUCACAAAACAAACAUGGAGACUGUUGGAUAAGAUGGCUAGUGCUUUGUGUUUUAAAAUUCAGUAGAAAAUUCAGAAAUAAAGCCAAAUACUUACAGCCAGCUGAUCUUUGACAAAGCAUACAAGAACAUAAAUUGGGGAAAGGAUACCCUAUUCAACAAAUGGUGCUGGAAAAGCUGGCAAGCCACAUGUAGAAGAAUGAAACUAGAUCCUCAUCUCUCACCUUUUACAAAAAUCAACUCAAGAUGGAUCAAAGACUUAAAUCUAAGACCUGAAACUAUAAAAAAUUCUAAAAGAUAACAUUUUUUUUUCCUUUUUUCUUCUUCUGUUUUUUUUUUCUUUUUUUUGAAGGGGGAAGGAAGUUUGUAUGGUCGCCCCAAGCUGGAGUGCAAUGGCGCGAUCUCGGAUCACUGCAACCUCCACCUCAUGCAUUCAAGCGAUUCUCCUGCCUCAGCCUCCUCAUUAGCUGGGAUUACAGGCGUCUGCCACCACACCCAGCUAAUUUUUGUAUUUUUAGUAGAGAUGGGGUUUGGCCAUGUUGGCCAGGCUAGUUUUGUACUCCUGACCUCAAGUGCUGGGAUUACAGGCAUGUGCCACCGUGCCCGGCCUUGAAAAGAUAACAUUGGAAAAACUCUUCUGGACAUUGGCUUAGGCAAAUUCAUGACAAGGACCCCAAAAGCAAAUGCAACAAAGACAAAAAUAAAUAAAUUGAAUAAAUUAGAGCUAAUUAAAAGCUUCUGCAGAGCAAAAGAAAUAAUCAGCACAUUAAACAGACAACCCACAGAGUGGAAGAAAAUAUUCACAAAGUAUGCAUCUGACAAAGGACUGAUAUCCAGAAUCUACAAGAAACUCAAACAAAUCAGCAAGAAAAUGACAAUCCCAUCAAAAAGUGGGCAAAAGAUAUGAAUAGCCAUUUUUCAAAAGAAGAUAUACAAACAGCCAACAAACAUAUGAAAAAUGUUCAACAUCAGUGAAAUACAAAUUAAAACCACAAUGAGAUACCACGUAACUCCUGCAAGAAUGGCUAUAUUCAGAAGUUAAAACUAUAGAUGUUGGUGUGGAAGUGAUGAAAAGGGAACACUUACACACUGCUGGUGUGAAUGUAAAUUAGUACAACCUCUAUGAAAAACGGUAUGGUGAUUCCUUAAAGAACUGAAAGUAGAUCUACCAUUUGAUCCAGCAAUCCCACUACUGGGUAUCUACCCAAAGGAAAAGAAGUCAUUACAUGAAAAAGACACAUGUACACGUAUGUUUAUAGCAGCACAAUUCACAGUUGCAAAGAUAUGGAAUCAGCCUAAAUGCCCAUCAACCAAUGACUGGAUAAAGAAAAUGUGUAUGUAUACACCAUGGAAUACUACUCAGCCAUAAAAAAGAACGAAAUAAUUUCUUUUGCAGCAACUUGGAUGGAGCUGGAGGCCGUUAUUCUAAACGAAGUAACUCAGGAAUAAAAAACCAAAUGCCGCAUGUUCUCACUUAUCGGUGGGAGCUAAGCUAUGAGGACACAAACACAUACAAAGUGAUAUAAUGGACUUUGAUGACUGCAGGGUGGGAAGCUGGGAGUGGAGUGAGGGAUAAAAGACUACAUACUGAGUGGGUACAGUGUACACUGCUUGAGUGACAGGUGCACUAAAAUCUCAGAAUUCACCACUAAAGAACUCAUCCAUGUAACCAAAAACCACCUGUACCCCUAAAACUAUUAAAAUUUUUAAAAAUAAAAAAGUUAACUUUUAAACAUUAAAUAUACAUAAUAUAAUGUUUACAUUUUAAAAUUAUUUUUAUUCGCAAUUGUUUUGUUUUAACACCCCCUUCUUUCAAUGUUUUCUAUUAUAAAAUGUCAAUGUCAGUUAAAGAUCAUUUUAACAUGUCAUUUUAAAACAUAUC